GGUGGCGUAGGCAAACUGGUAAAGCCAUACGACUUUCAAUCGUAUGUUUGUGGGUUCGAUCCCCAUCGCCACUGCCA
rnacentral:tRNA from 1 species